GUCCACGCCCUAAACGAUGAGGACUGGAUGUCGGAAGGGUCUGCCUUUCGGUGUCGUAGCUAACGCGUUAAGUCCUCCGCCUGGGGAGUACGGCCGCAAGGUUGAAACUCAAAGGAAUUGACGGGGACCCGCGACAAGCGGUGGAGCAUGUGGUUCAAUUUCGAUGCAACGCGAAGAACCUUACCUGGUCUUGACAUCCGCGGAACUCGGCAGAAAUGCCUUGGUGCCUUCGGGAAUCGCGAGACAGGUGCUGCAUGGCUGUCGU
rnacentral:rRNA from 1 species